UACGAAGGGGGCUAGCGUUGCUCGGAAUCACUGGGCGUAAAGAGCGCGCAGGCGGUCGAUCAAGUCGAGUGUGAAAGCCCCCGGCUCAACUGGGGAGGGUCAUUCGAUACUGAUCGACUCGAAGGCAGGAGAGGGUAGUGGAAUUCCCGGUGUAGUGGUGAAAUGCGUAGAUAUCGGGAGGAACACCAGUGGCGAAGGCGACUACCUGGCCUGUUCUUGACGCUGAGGCGCGAAAGCUAGGGGAGCAAACGGG
rnacentral:rRNA from 1 species